rnacentral:lncRNA from 1 species
UUUUUUUUUUUUUGUUUUUUUUUUUAAACAAACAAAUUUCAGGUUUUCACACUUUCCAUGAAGUGGACAUGCUCUCAGAUUACAAUUUCAUUUCUCUUUUUCAGGUAGAGGAAAAUUGCCUUAGGCCAUUACAUUAAGAGUCCCUGUAAUGCAUGGCUUGGUGAAUUUUUACAAACAGUCCUUGAACAGCAGCCUCCUUCCAGUCGCACCCCACCCACUCCUAUCCCUCCCAAGUGUGAAUUCUGUCUGCUACACUGGUUUGUAGCAAUGGCAAUUAGUUGGCCUAUUCUUGGAAUUUAUGGUAAUAUAUACUCAUUUCUAUAUGUCUUCUUUGCCUCGAAUGUUGCUUUAUCUAGAUUGUGUUUUAUUAAUAUACUUAGUACUGUUGAAAAUAUGCCAGAUUUUCUUAGUCUGCUGUUGAUAGGCAUUUGUACAAGCUUUCGUUUGGGUCUAAAACAAAUGUGCACUGCCAGGAACACCAUCCUGCUCCUUUUGGAGAACAUUUUCAUACCUGUUUCUGUGGUAACACACUUUUAAGAGUGGAAUAUUGGGUCAAAAGGUAUACAUAUUUUCAAUAUUAAUAAAUACUGCCAAAUUGCUAUUUGGAGCCCCACUAGCAGUGCUUGGGCUUUCUGAAUGUGCACCCUCAUUCACCAUCCGUGGUUUCUAUCUUUCUCGUUUAUGGCUUAAAGUUAUGUCAGCUCUAGCUGGGGGUAGUGGCACAUGUCUCUAAUCCCAGCCUUGGGCUAUUCCAGGCCAGUCAGUCAAGCCUACACAGUGAGAUUCUGUCUCAAAACAAAACAACUGUCUCCGUCUAAUCUAAAGCUCUUAUCUUUUAUUACACAUUUUAAACAAUCUUAAAAUUUCAAAUUUAACCUAUUUAUCUUAAAUUACUAUAGUAUAAUAUUUGACCCUAUAAUAAGUGUCAAAUGGUCUUUGGAAUCAGGGACAUACAGUUUUUGUUUUGUUUUGAUUAAGGUAGGCUUGAAAGAAGCAAAAGAUAAGUCGAGGCCUUAGAAAGAACAGCGAGUGCUGAAAUAGUCACCGGCUGCUGGUGAGUCUCGUGAGUGGAUAAGAUUGCACGAGGAGCCUACCCAUGUAGAAUGUCCAUGCUACAUUCUAAACCUUGUAGGCCUUCUUUUCUGUACUGCGACAAAUGGAAUACUAACUAGAGAUGGAUUUUCAGAGCUCCCUCUGCUGGUGUCCUAGCCAUAAUUAAGAUAUCUUCUUGCUUUAAUUUGUGCUGGGCUCUAAUGGUGUAUGAUAAAUUUGAGAAAGAAAUUAAUUUCAAGGUCCAUUAAAAGCAGAUGAAAUAGAUGUUUGUAGCAAAUGAAAUGGAAAAAUAGAAAGGGUUGUUUAUUUCUUUUAGAAUUCAGACUGAGCUUUGAGUCUCUUGAGUUACAGGGAGGAUACUUGUGAUGGUAUUGGAGGCUUUCCAUUUCAAACAGUACUUUAUACUUUAUUACACUGAGGGGGGUAGGGCAGCAUGCUAGGAAUCGAUGCAGACUCACCUUUGCAAGUUGAUGAUAGUCCAAAAGCACUCUCCCUGGCUCUUUUUAACUAAAAGAGCAACUUUUCAGGGAAGAAGCCCCAAAUUCAUCAGUAAACUGGUUGGGUUCUAGAUAAUGCUACCAGUGGCCAUUUAGAACCUACAUUUAGUUCAUUUAUAUUUAGAUAAUCAGAUUAGGUGUGGACCCAGUUAAAAGAGAAAUUAUUCUGAAGGGUACCUAAGGGUUGGCUUAACUUUUUAUUACCUGGGCAGCUCACAUCUAACUGAUAGCUACUUGUGGCGGGGUCCGUGACUAGUAGAUGUGGCUUCACCCUCUUUCUAACUAUAACUGGAUCUGUUUGGUUUGAUUUGGACAGAAUCUCUCUGCUGUGUAGCUUGUCCUGGCAUGUGCCACAUGCUCCAGGAAGUCCCCUCUGCCUGUUAGAGUUGCUAUUUGAGGAGAAAUCUAUUGGAUAUUUUGACUUUUAGCUGUUUUGAUAGUACAUACAAUGGAACGUACAUUUUCCACUUAAGAAAACUGAAGAAUGUACUCUGAUUGCUUUUGUACUAGAACACCCUUGGGGCUGGAGAGAUGCCUCAGUGGUUAAGACCAUAUUCUGUUCUCACAGAGGACUGAGUUCAGUUUUCAGCACCCACACUGGGCAGCUCACAACAACCCUGUAACUCUAGCUUCAAGGAUCUAAUACUCUCUUCUGGCUUCUGCAGACACCUACAUUUAUUAUGCAUGCCAUACACAGACAUAUACAUGUAAAAUGUAAGUAAAAAUUAAAUUGUAUUUUAUUUCUUGGGAUACUCUCACUAGUAGGUCCAGCUGGCCUAGAACUUGAUAUGUAGACCAGGCUAGGCUCAAACUCCUACAGAUCUGCCUACCUCUGCCUCCUCAGAGCUAGGACUAAAGGUGUGCACCACUAUACCACCCACAUCCCUCAAAAAAAUCUUAUAAAGAAAUAACUAAUUAAUGAGACCCUUUGAUACUUUUUUAUUAGAACUAUCAUCUUUAGAUAAUUGUUUCCUUUGAUAUUUAAAUUAUUUAUAAAAAGAGUUUAUAGUGGGGGGGGGAUCACUGAAAUGGACAAAGAAUUAGAUAUCUAGGAAAGAUGGAAGACCCAUCCAUGGCGAAAGUGAAAAUAACAUUUUGCAAACAACUCUCUUCAUGGGCCUAGACUGCAAGGCCACUAUCGACUCUGGUCAGGCGUCGUACGGUGCCUCCAGGUCCUCCCUUCCCUUGUUAGCCCUGCUUAGAUACUUGCCCUCCUGCCUUCCCGCCCUCUCCUCUCAGUGGCUUUAGUGGACAAGAAGCUGACAUCUUAGGGAGACUACUCUCCAUUUCCCUCUUUAUGUCCCUCUAGAGCUUCCUCAGAUUUAAUCCAAAAUUUACAAGGAAACAUAAUAAAGCAGAAAAAAAAGUUAAAUGCAGUAAACACUGAAAUUUUUCAUCUUUGUAAUGAAGCAUUACUUACUGAGCAAAAUAAAAAUACUUAGUUUUGUUGUUUAGGGCUAAUGAUACUAAAGUAAAUUUAAACAAACAAACAAAGGCUGGGUGCUGGAGACACAGGCCUUUAAUCCCAGCACUUAGGAAGCAGAGGCAAUUUGAUCUCUGAGUUCUAGGCCAGCCUGAUCUACAGAACAAGUUUCAUCCAGGGCUAUAGCAAAAAAAGAGCUGUCUC